AGUGAACGCUGGCGGUAGGCCUAACACAUGCAAGUCGAACGGCAGCACAGUAAGAGCUUGCUCUUACGGGUGGCGAGUGGCGGACGGGUGAGGAAUACAUCGGAAUCUACUUUUUCGUGGGGGAUAACGUAGGGAAACUUACGCUAAUACCGCAUACGACCUACGGGUGAAAGCAUGGGAUCUUCGGACCUUGCGCGAUUGAAUGAGCCGAUGUCGGAUUAGCUAGUUGGCGGGGUAAAGGCCCACCAAGGCGACGAUCCGUAGCUGGUCUGAGAGGAUGAUCAGCCACACUGGAACUGAGACACGGCCCAGACUCCUACGGGAGGCAGCAGUGGGGAAUAUUGGACAAUGGGCGCAAGCCUGAUCCAGCCAUACCGCGUGGGUGAAGAAGGCCUUCGGGUUGUAAAGCCCUUUUGUUGGGAAAGAAAAGCAGCAGGUUAAUACCCCGCUGUUCUGACGGUACCCAAAGAAUAAGCACCGGCUAACUUCGUG
rnacentral:rRNA from 1 species